GACGAACGCUGGCGGCGUGCUUAACACAUGCAAGUCGAGCGGUAAGGCCCUUUCGGGGUACGACGAGCGGCGAACGGGUAGAGUAACACGUGGGUGACCUGCCCUCCAGCUCUGGGAGUAAGCCUGGGAAACCGGGUCUAAUACCGGAUAUGACUCCAUGACGCAUGUUGUGGGGUGGAAAGCCUUGUGCGGCUGAGGAUGGGCCCGCGGCCUAUCAGCUUGUUGGUGGGGUGAUGGCCUACCAAGGCGACGACGGGUAGCCGGCCUGAGAGGGCGACCGGCCACACUGGGACUGAGACACGGCCCAGACUCCUACGGGAGGCAGCAGUGGGGAAUCUUGCGCAAUGGGCGAAAGCCUGACGCAGCGACGCCGCGUGAGGGAUGACGGCCUGUGUAACUC
rnacentral:rRNA from 1 species